GACGAACGCUGGCGGCGUGCUUAACACAUGCAAGUCGAACGGAAAGGCCCUGCUUUUGUGGGGGGCUCGAGUGGCGAACGGGUGAGUAACACGUGAGUAACCUGCCCUUGACUUUGGGAGAACUUCAGGAAACUGGGGCGAAUACCGGAUAGGAGCUCCUGCUGCAUGGGGGGGGUUGGAAAGCUUCGGCGGUUGGGGAUGGACUCGCGGCUUAUCAGCUUGUUGGUGGGGUAGUGGCUUACCAAGGCUUUGACGGGUAGCCGGCCUGAGAGGGUGACCGGCCACAUUGGGACUGGGGUACCGGCCAGAGUCCUACGGCAGGCAGCAGUGGGGAAUAUAGCACGAUGGGCGGAAGCCUGAUGCAGGAACGCCGCGUGCGGGAUGACGGCCUUCGGGUUGUAAGCCGCUUUCGCCUGUGACGAAGCGUGAGUGACGGUACUGGGUAAAGAAGCCCCGGCUAACUACGUG
rnacentral:rRNA from 1 species